AAGAUGGGCAUGCGUCUGAUUAGCUAGUUGGCGGGGUAACGGCCCACCAAGGCGACGAUCAGUAGGGGUUCUGAGAGGAAGGUCCCCCACACUGGCACUGAGAUACGGGCCAGACUCCUACGGGAGGCAGCAGUAGGGAAUAUUGGGCAAUGGUCGCAAGACUGACCCAGCCAUGCCGCGUGCAGGAAGACGGCCCUCUGGGUUGUAAACUGCUUUUAUCUGGGAAGAAAAAGUCCAUGCGUGGAAAAUUGCCGGUACCAGAUGAAUAAGCACCGGCUAACUCCGUGCCAGCAGCCGCGGUAAUACGGAGGGUGCAAGCGUUGUCCGGAUUUAUUGGGUUUAAAGGGUGCGUAGGCGGCUGAAUAAGUCAGCGGUGAAAGACUUCGGCUUAACCGGAGCAGUGCCGUUGAUACUGUUUGGCUUGAGUGUUGGAGGGGUACAUGGUAAUUGAUGGUGUAGCGGUGAAAUGCAUAGAUACCAUCAGGAACACCGAUAGCGAAAGGCAUUGUACUGGCCAACAACUGACGCUGA
rnacentral:rRNA from 1 species